AGUGGGAUAGCUGGAUCAAAUGGUGGUUCCAUUCCAACUUUCUGAGGAAUCUCUACACUAGUUUACAAAGUGAUUGCACCAAUUUGCAGUUCUUCCAGCAAU
rnacentral:pre_miRNA from 1 species